rnacentral:rRNA from 1 species
UACGGAAGGCAGCAGUGGGGAAUAUUGCACAAUGGGCGCAAGCCUGAUGCAGCCAUGCCGCGUGUAUGAAAAAGGCCUUCGGGUUGUAAAGUACUUUCAGUCGUGAGGAAGGUGUUAAGGUUAAUAACCUUAGCAAUUGACGUUAGCGACAGAAGAAGCACCGGCUAACUCCGUGCCAGCAGCCGCGGUAAUACGGAGGGUGCGAGCGUUAAUCGGAAUUACUGGGCGUAAAGGGCACGCAGGCGGUUAAUUAAGUUGGAUGUGAAAUCCCCGGGCUUAACCUGGGAAUGGCAUUCAAGACUGGUUAGCUAGAGUCUUGUAGAGGGGGUAGAAUUCCAUGCGUAGCGGUGAAAUGCGUAGAGAUGUGGAGGAAUACCGGUGGCGAAGGCGGCCCCUGGACAAAGACUGACGCUCAUGUGCGAAAGCGUGGGGAGCAAAC